UACGGGGGGGGCAAGCGUUGUUCGGAAUUACUGGGCGUAAAGGGCACGCAGGCGGUGCGGCGCGUUUCGCGUGACAGCGGAGGGCUUAACUCUCCGAGGAUGCGAAAGACGGCGGCACUUGAGGGCCAGAGAGGGACACGGAAUUCCGGGUGGAGUGGUGAAAUGCGUAGAGAUCCGGAGGAACACCAGUGGCGAAAGCGGCCACCUGGACUGUACCUGACGCUGAAACGCGAAAGCUAGGGGAGCGAACGGG
rnacentral:rRNA from 1 species